CAGCUAGUUGGUAGGGUAAUGGCCUACCAAGGCGAAGAUCGGUAUCCGGCCUGAGAGGGCGCACGGACACACUGGAACUGAAACACGGUCCAGACUCCUACGGGAGGCAGCAGUGGGGAAUUUUGCGCAAUGGGGGAAACCCUGACGCAGCAACGCCGCGUGGAGGAUGAAGCUCCUUGGAGUGUAAACUCCUUUCGACCGGGACGAUAAUGACGGUACCGGUGGAAGAAGCACCGGCUAACUCUGUGCCAGCAGCCGCGGUAAUACAGAGGGUGCGAGCGUUGUUCGGAAUUAUUGGGCGUAAAGGGCGCGUAUGCGGUGCGGUAAGUCACCUGUGAAAUCCCCGGGCUUAUCUCGGGGCC
rnacentral:rRNA from 1 species